GGGUUGUGAGGUUAAGCGACUAAGCGUACACGGUGGAUGCCCUGGCAGUCAGAGGCGAUGAAGGACGUGCUAAUCUGCGAUAAGCGUCGGUAAGGUGAUAUGAACCGUUAUAACCGGCGAUUUCCGAAUGGGGAAACCCAGUGUGAUUCGUCACACUAUCAUUAACUGAAUCCAUAGGUUAAUGAGGCGAACCGGGGGAACUGAAACAUCUAAGUACCCCGAGGAAAAGAAAUCAACCGAGAUUCCCCCAGUAGCGGCGAGCGAACGGGGAGCAGCCCAGAGCCUGAAUCAGUGUGUGUGUUAGUGGAAGCGUCUGGAAAGGCGCGCGAUACAGGGUGACAGCCCCGUACACAAAAAUGCACAUACUGUGAGCUCGAUGAGUAGGGCGGGACACGUGGUAUCCUGUCUGAAUAUGGGGGGACCAUCCUCCAAGGCUAAAUACUCCUGACUGACCGAUAGUGAACCAGUACCGUGAGGGAAAGGCGAAAAGAACCCCGGCGAGGGGAGUGAAAAAGAACCUGAAACCGUGUACGUACAAGCAGUGGGAGCCUCUUUAUGGGGUGACUGCGUACCUUUUGUAUAAUGGGUCAGCGACUUAUAUUCUGUAGCAAGGUUAACCGAAUAGGGGAGCCGAAGGGAAACCGAGUCUUAACUGGGCGUUAAGUUGCAGGGUAUAGACCCGAAACCCGGUGAUCUAGCCAUGGGCAGGUUGAAGGUUGGGUAACACUAACUGGAGGACCGAACCGACUAAUGUUGAAAAAUUAGCGGAUGACUUGUGGCUGGGGGUGAAAGGCCAAUCAAACCGGGAGAUAGCUGGUUCUCCCCGAAAGCUAUUUAGGUAGCGCCUCGUGAAUUCAUCUCCGGGGGUAGAGCACUGUUUCGGCAAGGGGGUCAUCCCGACUUACCAACCCGAUGCAAACUGCGAAUACCGGAGAAUGUUAUCACGGGAGACACACGGCGGGUGCUAACGUCCGUCGUGAAGAGGGAAACAACCCAGACCGCCAGCUAAGGUCCCAAAGUCAUGGUUAAGUGGGAAACGAUGUGGGAAGGCCCAGACAGCCAGGAUGUUGGCUUAGAAGCAGCCAUCAUUUAAAGAAAGCGUAAUAGCUCACUGGUCGAGUCGGCCUGCGCGGAAGAUGUAACGGGGCUAAACCAUGCACCGAAGCUGCGGCAGCGAC
rnacentral:rRNA from 1 species